UUGGACAGCCUUCUGAAGGGAAGAUUAAUACAAGAUGGCAUCAUGAGUCCGCAUGUUCACAUGAUUAAAGGUAUUCCGGUAGACGAUGGGGAUGCGUUCCAUUAGAUAGUAGGCGGGGUAACGGCCCACCUAGUCUUCGAUGGAUAGGGGUUCUGAGAGGAAGGUCCCCCACAUUGGAACUGAGACACGGUCCAAACUCCUACGGGAGGCAGCAGUGAGGAAUAUUGGUCAAUGGGCGAGAGCCUGAACCAGCCAAGUAGCGUGAAGGAUGACUGCCCUAUGGGUUGUAAACUUCUUUUAUAAAGGAAUAAAGUCGGGUAUGCAUACCCGUUUGCAUGUACUUUAUGAAUAAGGAUCGGCUAACUCCGUGCCAGCAGCCGCGGUAAUACGGAGGAUCCGAGCGUUAUCCGGAUUUAUUGGGUUUAAAGGGAGCGUAGAUGGAUGUUUAAGUCAGUUGUGAAAGUUUGCGGCUCAACCGUAAAAUUGCAGUUGAUACUGGAUAUCUUGAGUGCAGUUGAGGCAGGCGGAAUUCGUGGUGUAGCGGUGAAAUGCUUAGAUAUCACGAAGAACUCCGAUUGCGAAGGCAGCCUGCUAAGCUGCAACUGACAUUGAGGCUCGAAAGUGUGGGUAUCAAACAGGAUUAGAUACCCUGGUAGUCCACACGGUAAACGAUGAAUACUCGCUGUUUGCGAUAUACGGCAAGCGGCCAAGCGAAAGCGUUAAGUAUUCCACCUGGGGAGUA
rnacentral:rRNA from 1 species